AAAUAUUUAAAAGCCUAUCCAUCCAUCUACACAUCAUUUUCAGUUAUUCCUUCUUUUUUAAAUUAAAAGAGCAUCAUUCUUUCAUGUUUAAUUAAAAGAGCAUCUUGUAGUUUAAGGCAUAUAAUAGCUAAAAAAAAAUGAUGGUUUUCAAAAUUAUAUAUGGCGUAGUAGUUAUUCUAGAAAAGGAUGGUUUUCAAAAUUAUAUAUAGCGUAGUAGUUAUUACUAGAGUAUUGGAUUACAAAAAUAUUAUUUAAUAGAAUUUCAGUUAUAAAAAUAUUUUUUUUUCUAUAUUUACAAAUAGUUUGAGAAUAGCGUGUUUUCAUAAGGAUAAACUUUACGGGUGACAACUGAUAGUAUUUAAGUAGGUUAAAAAUAUUUUUCUCCAAAAAAAGUUGUUAAAAAUAGUAAUUCUACUUUAUUCUCAGAGAUAAAAAAUUUAGUUCAAUACUAGUUUCAAUCGUUUGUUAAGACAUACGAUAAAUUUUUGAAUAAUUCAUAAAUGAGAUAAGAAAAGAGACUAAAUAAUAACCCCACAUCGUCACUAGCAAAAUCCAAAGGAAAGCACUACAAGAGAAUUAAGUUAUAGCUUCAUAUUUUUGGAACACUUUUGUAUAAAUGUUCGUCCAAAAUUUUUUUAAAAAAAUAUACCUACUAAAGCCCAAAUAUAAGGCCCAGCCCACUUAAAAAUAUAUUAACCUGCUUGACCCAACCACCCAACCUAAUCAGCCCAAAGAAAAAACCGAUCUCUACCUCGUCUCCCCUCUCUCCGACCCCUAAAACCGUAGACGUAGAUCCCCUCGCUCUCCUCCUCCGCCGCCGCCGUCGCAGCCGAUGAGGGAGGGAUCCGGCGGCCAGAGUUCAGCUGUGAGGAUCGCACGGAAACCGUAAAGGUCUAUGAUCGUCAUGUAUCCCUCCGCCACAAGUCGCCGGAGGAGUGGGCGCCAAACGUCGAGGCGGCGGCGGGCAGGAGGAGUCCGGCGUCCGCCUCCUGGCUGUGCUCGCGGUGGCGCUGAAGGUGCAAAAGGAGGAGAUGAAGAAGAAGGUGAGAUCGAUCAGUGCUAGGGUUUCUUGUUCAUGAGGAUUUAGGGUUAAUCUCUUGUGAGAAUCCCUUUGUGCGUGAAUCGCUUUGCUUGGUAUCGUAUAAAUUAAGGCUUAUAGAUGAUCUUUGAUUAAGCUUUUGGAAUUGCUCUAGUGCUUGUUUAAUUUACACAGUCCUCUUUAAGCUCUUAGCCAUUGUUAUAAUGGCAUUACGUUGAGAACCUUGAUUGGGGAUUUGUUGAAAUUAACAGCCCUGUUAAAAAAAAGCGUUUAAAACAGUCAAAAUUUAAUAGAAUCACUCUUAAAUUUAACAGCUGUUUGUGAUGUCUUCUAGAAUAUGUAUUAGCGCGAUUCAUAACAAAAAGGGAACCUGGCAUUGCUCUAGUGAUGCAAGUUCAGAGGAAAGGUAAGCUUAUCAAGUACCAGUCAAUAGCUGUUUUAACUGUUAGUUGUCUGACAAUAUUUAGAGAUAAUAUAUCUGAGAAUUGACAAUUUUAUCAGUCGAUGUCUUACAGCAGCCUCUUGUUAUUAGGCAUGUUUUGAUCACUAUAUCUUUAUGUAUGAUACAUAGUCAUCAUAAUUUUAUUUCUCUCAUUCUUGUGCACUGUGGCUCAGUUUCUUGUGGACUGUUCAGGUUUUUCUAAUGUAUUGUGCAAUGAUUGAGCCAAAUAUAUCAAGUAUGAUCCGUUGUUUCUCAUUUAUACUUCUACUUUAUUACUUGACCUGGAAAAUAUUUUUAACAUUAAUCAUUCUAAGAAUUUAAUUCUAGCUAGAGUGAAUGGUAGUCAUAUCUUUUACUCUUUAUUCCUUGAUCUGUUUUUGUCACAACUGCACCCUAAUUAUAGUAAACAGAGGAAAUGUCAAAGCUAGAUGUUGGCAGUAUGUUUCAAUUUGCAUUGUAGCGUUUUGACUUCUGUUAAGUGUUAAAAUCUAUGAUUCAAAUUUAAAUGCUUUACAGAUGGGAAGUUAGUUCUUGUGCGAUGGACUCUCUGUACGAUCUAAACCUCAUAUCAAAAGUAGUUCCAAUGUUUUUGGACAACUCCAAGGUGUGGCACUAAAUACUGUCAACAAGUAUGAAACUAGAAAAGAGAGGGGUGGCUCACGUGGAAGGAGUCAGCAGAUUUGAUCUCAAAGAAAAUAGCAUGUACUCAAAUGUACUCCUAAUAAAUCACACUGCAAGUCCUCUGGCAUGGUAAAAUUUAUUGUUAUUAUUUCAUUAAUAACCUUUCAUUCUUUCUACUUGUCAGAUUUAAUAUCUAGGAUGCAUUUCUUUUGCUCGUAAAUAUCAAAAUCGAUGAAAUAUGGACAAAUUUGCUAGGUGAAUGUUUGUAACAUCAAGUGCUAGUCUUGAUCAUGAUAACCAUCCAGUUUUAUGGAGUGCAAGGAUAGAGCCAAUCACAGCUCUGUUUUGCUGCCACACUCCUUUGCCAACCAAAGCAGCUGAAAGAGUGCAAAAUGUGGCAGAUAAAGUAUGUCUUCUUCAGCUUUUUCUUUUUUUCCCCCUUUAAUUUCAUGCCUGUUGAAAGUGUGACUUUCUCUCUUGUCCUGGAAUAUAUGCGGAUUAUUCUUCCAGCUGUUGUCAGUUGUUUCUUGUUUUUGAUUUGGAACUUUUGAUUAUCCAGCUCUUCCAAUUUUCAUGAUAGACAGGAUGUACACUUCUGUCAUGAUAAAUAAGAUGUACUCCCAUCGGAUUUCUUCUAUAAUCCGCAUCUUUCAAAUGUCAAACAACCUCUUUACAUUUUAAGCCCUAUCAUCCAACUAGAGUUGUUGUUUCAAUUGCUUUCUUGAGUAGUCAAUGCUAGGUGAUCUUGGUCGAUUUUAAUAGGCACUUGAUUUGGGUGAUCUUGGUCUCUCUUUCCAUCUACCUUUCCAUGAGUAGGAAUCUUAUUUGUUUCCUAUCGAAUUGGCACACAAAAAAUGAGCUAAAUAAUUUAACUUGCUAUCAGCAUUAAGCUGUUCCUGAUCUCAUCUAUUUGAGGAAAAGAAGCUUGUAUUAGCACUUGAGCUACAUCCGUAUAAUCCGAAUAAUUAAUUAGAGUAACUUGCUCACAGUAUAAAACCUGUAACUUGCCUGUUAGUUCGUUCAACAUAGACAUGUAGUAUUGGUAAUAACAUGCAGCACAGUUACUCUUUUAGGCACUUGAUUUGGCAUAUAGGCCUAGAUUUUUAAACCCAUGUUGAUAACUAAGUCAAGUUGCGGGCCUUAGUUAAGCAACUCCUACACAGCUUACGAACUGACUGAAUUAGGCUUGUCUUAAAGUUAUGCGGUAUAAUUAAGAGGUUUGAGUGACCAUAACAUGCUUAGUGUUAUAGUUUAUAUUGUUUGCGUAUUUAUGCGUACAUGGUCAUGUUAUUCGUGCAAAAUGCUCUUUUUGUGUCUGGUUCGUAAAUAUUAAUGUUAACUUUCACCUACUGAAGCACGACAGAGUUCUACAAAUGGCCUUUCUUUUUUGAUGCAAUUACUUUGAUUUUCGUUCAUAUAUAUAUAUAUAUAUAUAUAACUAGGCUGGAAUACUAUUAAUAGCACCAAGCUAUUGGUGCUAUUAGUUUUUUAGCCACGGGAUUGAGAAAUUUGUGGUUAGGAUGAUGUGGGCCCCCUAGGGUUGAGUGGGUGGUUGGUUGAUAGUAUAAUGUAACGGGUAAAAAUAAUUAAAGGGUUAAAUCUAACGGUGAAAAACUCGAUAGCACCAAGCUCUUGGUGCUAUUGAUAGUAUCCAAGUCCCGACUCUAUAUAUAUAUAUAUAUAUAUAUAUAUACUAUACAUAUAUAUAUAUAAUAUAAUAUAUAUAAUAGCUAGGUUGGUAUACUAUCGGUAGCACGAAGGCCUCCGUGCUACCAAGUUAUUUUCAAUGAUACCGCUUCUAAAUCGACGAUCGGCUCUGUUAGACUUGAUCUACACUAUUGAAAGUAUUUGGAAACUAAAUUUCAUACUUUUUCGGUAUCAUUUACCUAUCAAACAAGUAGUCUAAAAAUGAACGGCUGAAAAUAAAAAUCUCAUAAAAAAUAAUGAUAGAAGACUUGAAUUUAAGAUCAGAGAUACUGAUCUUACUCUAAAUAGUAAAAAGAAUUUUCUAUAAAAAUUUUAUCAGAUUUGCAUUAUUUUACAUCGUUAAAUUUACAAAUGCAUCACAUCUACCAUUAAGUCAAUUUUGAGACCUUUUGAUUACUAGCCAAAUGAUGUCGAAAAAUUAUGAAAUUUAGUUUCCAAAUAUUUUUAAUAGUGUAGAUCAAGUCUAACACAGCCGAUUGUCGAUUUGGAAGCCGCAUCAUUGAAAACAACUUGGUUGCACGGAAGCCUUCAUGCUACCAAUAGUAUACCAGCCUAGCUCU
rnacentral:lncRNA from 1 species